rnacentral:rRNA from 1 species
GUAGGGAAUAUUGCGCAAUGGACGAAAGUCUGACGCAGCGACGCCGCGUGAGUGAUGAAGGCCUUAGGGUCGUAAAGCUCUGUUGAAUGGGAAGAAAAAAAUGACGGUACCAUUCGAGGAAGGACCGGCUAACUUCGUGCCAGCAGCCGCGGUAAUACGAGGGGUCCUAGCGUUGUUCGGAAUCAUUGGGCGUAAAGGGGGUGUAGGUGGCCAUGUAAGUCAGGUGUGAAAGCCCCGGGCUCAACCCGGGAAGUGCGCUUGAUACUGCGUGGCUUGAGUACCGAAGAGGGUAGUGGAAUUCCAGGUGUAGUGGUGAAAUACGUAGAUAUCUGGAGGAACACCGGUGGCGAAGGCGGCUACCUGGUCGAGUACUGACACUGAGACACGAAAGCAUGGGGAUCAAACAGGAUUAGAAACCCCUGUAGUCC